rnacentral:rRNA from 1 species
UGGGGAAUAUUGGACAAUGGGCGAAAGCCUGAUCCAGCACUGCCGCGUGUGUGAAGAAGGCCCCCGGGUUGUAAAGCACUUUCAGUGGGGAAGAAAUGCCGGGCGCUAAUACCGUCCUGUGCUGUCGUUACCCCCAGAAGACGCACCUGCUAACUCCGUGCCAGCAGCCGCGGUAAUACGGAGGGUGCGAGCGUUAAUCGGAAUUACUGGGCGUAAAGGGCGCGUAGGCGGUUCGGUCAGUCGGAUGUGAAAGCCCCGGGCUUAACUUGGGAAUUGCAUUCGAUACUGCCGGGCUAGAGUGUGGUAGAGGGAAGCGGAAUUCCCGGUGUAGCGGUGAAAUGCGUAGAUAUCGGGAGGAACAUCAGUGGCGAAGGCGGCUUCCUGGACCAACACUGACGCUGAGGCGCGAAAGCGUGGGGAGCAA